rnacentral:rRNA from 1 species
CACGUAGGUGAACUGCCCUUGGGACGGGGAUAGCUUGUGGAAACACAAGAUAAUACCGAAUAAUGUCAUUGAAUUAUGAUUUAGUGAUGAAAGGGGCUUGAAAGCCCCGCCUUGGGAUGUGCCUGCGGCUGAUUAGCUAGUUGGUGGGGUAAUGGCUCACCAAGGCAACGAUCAGUAGCCGGCCUGAGAGGGUGAACGGCCACACUGGGACUGAGAUACGGCCCAGACUCCUACGGGAGGCAGCAGCUAAGAAUCUUCCGCAAUGGACGAAAGUCUGACGGAGCGACGUCGCGUGGGUGAUGAAGGCGGAAACGUUGUAAAGCCCUUUCAUAGAUGAGGAAUAAAUUUUGGAAGAAAUGCCAAAAUGAUGACGAUAGUCUAUGAAUAAGCCCCGGCUAAUUACGUGCCAGCAGCCGCGGUAAUACGUAUGGGGCGAGCGUUGUUCGGAUUUAUUGGGCGUAAAGGGUAUGCAGGCGGUAUUCUAAGUCUAGUGUGUAAUGCCUCGGCUUAACUGGGGAAGCGCGCUGGAAACUAGAAAACUAGAGUACAGGAAGGGGAGUUGGAAUUCCAGGUGUAGGGGUGAAAUCUGUAGAUAUCUGGAAGAACAUCAGUGGCGAAGGCGAGCUCCUGGCCAUGUACUGACGCUGAGAUACGAAAGCGUGGGGAGCAAACAGGAUUAGAUACCCUGGUAGUCCACGCUGUAAACGAUGUGCACUAGGUGUUGGGGUUUUUGAUCUCAGUGCCGUAGCUAACGCAUUAAGUGCACCGCCUGGGGAGUAUGCCCGCAAGGGUGAAACUCAAAGGAAUUGACGGGGGCCCGCACAAGCGGUGGAGCAUGUGGUUUAAUUCGAUGAUACGCGAGGAACCUUACCAGGGCUUGACAUGUUUAGGAAUGAUUUAGAGAUAGAUCAGCUGCUUGCAGCCUAUAUACAGGUGCUGCAUGACUGUCGUCAGCUCGUGCCGUGAGGUGUUGGGUUAAGUCCCGCAACGAGCGCAACCCCUGCUGUCAGUUACCAUCAUUAAGUUGGGGACUCUGGCGGGACUGCCGGUGACAAACCGGAGGAAGGUGGGGAUGAUGUCAAGUCAUCAUGGCCCUUAUGUCCUGGGCUACACACGUGCUACAAUGGUUGGUACAAAGUGCAGCGAAACCGCGAGGUUAAGCGAACCGCAUAAAGCCAAUCUCAGUUCGGAUUGAAGUCUGAAACCCGACUUCAUGAAGGUGGAAUCGCUAGUAAUCGCAUAUCAGCAUGAUGCGGUGAAUACGUUCCCGGGCCUUGUACACACCGCCCGUCACACCACCCGAGUUGGGAGCACCCAAAGUCGUUAGGCUAACCUUAUAGGAGGCCGGCGCCGAAGGUGCGCUCGGUGAGGGGGGUGAAGUCGUAACAAGGUA